rnacentral:rRNA from 1 species
GUACACUCCUGCGGGAGGCAGCAGUGGGGAAUAUUGGACAAUGGGCGCAAGCCUGAUCCAGCCAUGCCGCGUGAGUGAUGAAGGCCCUAGGGUUGUAAAGCUCUUUCACCGGUGAAGAUAAUGACGGUAACCGGAGAAGAAGCCCCGGCUAACUUCGUGCCAGCAGCCGCGGUAAUACGAAGGGGGCUAGCGUUGUUCGGAUUUACUGGGCGUAAAGCGCACGUAGGCGGACUAUUAAGUCAGGGGUGAAAUCCCGGGGCUCAACCCCGGAACUGCCUUUGAUACUGGUAGUCUUGAGUUCGAGAGAGGUGAGUGGAAUUCCGAGUGUAGAGGUGAAAGUCGUAGAUAUUCGGAGGAACACCAGUGGCGAAGGCGGCUCACUGGCUCGAUACUGACGCUGAGGUGCGAAAGCGUGGGGAGCAAACAGGAUUAGAAACCCCGGUAGUCCCAUGAU